CACAAUCUCCAAGUACGAGAAAAAACUUCAUUCAAUCUCGAUUUCCUUUUUCCUCAACCUCAAUCACACAAACUGUACAGAAAACCCUAAAAUCCCAAAUCAAAAAACCCCUAAUAUGCAAAAACCCAAAUCGCAGCAUCACUCCACCACAUUCGUUUUCUACACCUCAAUACAACCUAGUCAUUCAUCACGAGAAGCACAUAGGGGUUAUCCCAACACCCCUCGAAACACCACCCUGUGAUGAAUGCGAAGCUCCUUUGCCCGUUGUCUUCGAACAAGAACAACUACUUUGUGAAGAAGCCAUUCCAAACCCU
rnacentral:lncRNA from 1 species